ensembl:snRNA U6 U6 spliceosomal RNA
GUGCUCGCUUCGGCAGCACAUAUACUAAAAUUGGAAUGAUACAGAGAAGAUUAGCAUGGCCCCUGCGCAAGGAUGACACACAAAUAGCGGAGGAGAGAAGGCAAGCAAA